CCUAAGGUAGCGAAAUUCCUUGUCGGGUAAGUUCCGACCUGCACGAAUGGCGUAAUGAUGGCCAGGCUGUCUCCACCCGAGACUCAGUGAAAUUGAACUCGCUGUGAAGAUGCAGUGUACCCGCGGCAAGACGGAAAGACCCCGUGAACCUUUACUAUAGCUUGACACUGAACAUUGAGCCUUGAUGUGUAGGAUAGGUGGGAGGCUUUGAAGUGUGGACGCCAGUCUGCAUGGAGCCGACCUUGAAAUACCACCCUUUAAUGUUUGAUGUUCUAACGUGGGCCCCUAAUCGGGGUUGCGGACAGUGUCUGGUGGGUAGUUUGACUGGGGCGGUCUCCUCCUAAAGAGUAACGGAGGAGCACGAAGGUUGGCUAAUCCUGGUCGGACAUCAGGAGGUUAGUGCAAUGGCAUAAGCCAGCUUGACUGCGAGCGUGACGGCGCGAGCAGGUGCGAAAGCAGGUCAUAGUGAUCCGGUGGUUCUGAAUGGAAGGGCCAUCGCUCAACGGAUAAAAGGUACUCCGGGGAUAACAGGCUGAUACCGCCCAAGAGUUCAUAUCGACGGCGGUGUUUGGCACCUCGAUGUCGGCUCAUCACAUCCUGGGGCUGAAGUAGGUCCCAAGGGUAUGGCUGUUCGCCAUUUAAAGUGGUACGCGAGCUGGGUUUAGAACGUCGUGAGACAGUUCGGUCCCUAUCUGCCGUGGGCGCUGGAGAACUGAGGGGGGCUGCUCCUAGUACGAGAGGACCGGAGUGGACGCAUCACUGGUGUUCGGGUUGUCAUGCCAAUGGCACUGCCCGGUAGCUAAAUGCGGAAGAGAUAAGUGCUGAAAGCAUCUAAGCACGAAACUUGCCCCGAGAUGAGUUCUCCCUGAGACUUAGAGUCUCCUGAAGGAACGUUGAAGACGACGACGUUGAUAGGCCGGGUGUGUAAGCGCAGCGAUGCGUUGAGCUAACCGGUACUAAUGAACCGUGAGGCUUAACCUU
rnacentral:rRNA from 1 species